GUUAAACAACUGCGGAGAAGAGAAAUUCCUCUAGUAAAGGUCACGUGGACACACCACAAGGGAGGAGAUGCGACUUGGGAAUUAGAGGACGACAUGAAGGCUCGUUAUCCCCGCCUUUUUGGUGAAGAAAAUCUCGAGGUUAUUGAACCCGGGAUCGAGGAUUAGAGCGAAUCUUUCAGAGUUCAUCGUUUAGACCAAGCAAUACGGAUCCUUCGAGAUCUUUUACAAUACACAUAAGGAUAAAUGGUUGAUCACUAUUGAAUAUGUGUGUUCAAGAGAAAGGAAGAUUGCUUAUGGAAGGUGGAGAGAGUGUGCAUUUGGUAACUCAAGAAAAAGUCAAAUACCAAGGCAAAAAGAAUGGGAAGAAAAAGUUUACUUCUCAAGAAAACAUUAAGAAGGAAUCCAAGUGUUUCUUCUGUAAGAAGAAAAGAUACAUGAAGAAAGAUUUACAGAUAUUCCAAGACUGGUUUGCUAAUAAAGGGUUUGCAAAACCUAAGGAAGGCAGUGGAAAGCGAACAAUGUAUCUAUUCGGGAAACAAGAUGCGCUCACAUGUGGAGGAUGUUGGAAUAUGUUAUCUAGUUUUAAGUAGU